GGGCCCGCACAAGCGGUGGAGCAUGUGGUUUAAUUCGAUGCAACGCGAAGAACCUUACCAGGGCUUGACAUACUGCAGAUCUUUUUGAGAAAGAAGAGUGCCUUCGGGAAUGCAGAUACAGGUGGUGCAUGGCUGUCGUCAGCUCGUGUCGUGAGAUGUUGGUUAAGUCCCGCAACGAGCGCAACCCUUAUUUUUAGUUGCCAUCAUUUAGUUGGGCACUCUGAAAGAACUGCCAGUGAUAAGCUGGAGGAAGGUGGGGAUGACGUCAAGUCCUCAUGGCCCUUACGUGUUGGGCUACACACGUGCUACAAUGGUAUUUUACAAAAAGGAAGCAAAACGGCGACGUU
rnacentral:rRNA from 1 species